GCUUCUUCCAGCCUCAUUUUGGUGUCAGCCUGGCCUUCGGAUGUGGGGCUUCCUGCCCUGCUGAGCUGCCUUCUCAACCCUCCUCUCCCCAGGACACUCAGCUGUGAAAGGCGCUGAUUUGCACAGAUUUUCUUAAGGAGCAAGCAGGACCAAACAAUUCCUGGUGGUGGCUGUGUCUGCUGAGAAUUAAUGCCAUUUUGUCUUAGAGACUAGAGAAGGAGAGAACGACAGACCCUGGGGAAUUGUCCUCGUGGAAAAGAUGGACAAACAGAGAUUGAAAAUACAGUGUUCUGGCUGGGCGUGAUGGCUCAUACCUGUAAUCCUCACACUUUGAGAAGCCAAGGU